GAAGCAGAGGGGGCUUAGUGGUGGGGUGACUGCGUACCUUUUGUAUAAUGGGUCAGCGACUUAUAUUCUGUAGCAAGGUUAACCGAAUAGGGGAGCCGGAGGGAAACCGAGUCUUAAUUGGGCGUUAAGUUGCAGGGUAUAGACCCGAAACCCGGUGAUCUAGCCAUGGGCAGGUUGAAGGUUGGGUAACACUAACUGGAGGACCGAACCGACUAAUGUUGAAAAAUUAGCGGAUGACCUGUGGCUGGGGGUGAAAGGCCAAUCAAACCGGGAGAUAGCUGGUUCUCCCCGAAAGCUAUUUAGGUAGCGCCUCGUGAAUUCAUCUCCGGGGGUAGAGCACUGUUUCGGCUAGGGGGCCAUCCCGGCUUACCAACCCGAUGCAAACUGCGAAUACCGGAGAAUGUUAUCACGGGAGACACACGGCGGGUGCUAACGUCCGUCGUGAAGAGGGAAACAACCCAGACCGCCAGCUAAGGUCCCAAAGUCAUGGUUAAGUGGGAAACGAUGUGGGAAGGCCCAGACAGCCAGGAUGUUGGCUUAGAAGCAGCCAUCAUUUAAAGAAAGCGUAAUAGCUCACUGGUCGAGUCGGCCUGCGCGGAAGAUGUAACGGGGCUAAACCA
rnacentral:rRNA from 1 species